GGGUCAGUAGGUUGGUCGUGCCACCGGUACGUACUGGUCUCACUUAUUCCUCCUUCCUGAAGAACCGUAAGGCCAUUAAUUUGGUGUUGCGGGGAAACAGGACUGUUACUUUGAAAAAAUUAGAGUGUUUAAAGCAAGCUAACGCUUGAAUACAUUAGCAUGGAAUAAUGAAAUAGGACGAUCGAUCCUAUUUUGUUGGUUUCUAGGAUUGACGUA
rnacentral:rRNA from 1 species